rnacentral:lncRNA from 1 species
AGAGAAGAGCUCUCCUCAUAUUUCUGCUCCAAGAAUUUUAAUUUGAUUCAUCAAGAACCUGUGAAAUAAGGGAGAUGCUUGGGUUCUCUCCUAGGUGGAGAUAAUAAGGGCUGGAGGGAUUGUUGAUUUGAUCCGUACUUGCGGUGUUAGACAUAAUUGGCAGCGGUAAAGAAAAGAUCCAAGAAACCAAGAAAGAAAAUGAACGUGCCAGAAACCAAGGCAGAACAGGUUCAAAACCUGUUCUGAUACCAUAUUAAAACCGGCCCAAACAUAAUGACUGAGGCCCAACGUCUCUGGCCCAAUAUGUGAAAGAAUAUCUUCCUCGAGAAGCUUCCUUAGGUCAGAUGAUAGGUGAACUCGAGCACUGUGAGUGAUGUGAAGAAAACGAA